UACGUAGGGUGCGAGCGUUGUCCGGAAUUAUUGGGCGUAAAGGGCUCGUAGGCGGUUUGUCACGUCGGGAGUGAAAACCCGGAGCUCAACUCCGGGCCUGCAGUCGAUACGGGCGGACUCGAGUUCGGCAGGGGAGACUGGAAUUCCUGGUGUAGCGGUGAAAUGCGCAGAUAUCAGGAGGAACACCGGUGGCGAAGGCGGGUCUCUGGGCCACUACUGACGCUGAGGAGCGAAAGCGUGGGGAGCGAACAGG
rnacentral:rRNA from 1 species